rnacentral:rRNA from 1 species
CUAUUAAUACCCCCAAAAACACCGAUUGAUAAACAACAAACCAUUUUUCCUCCCAAGUACGGGCGACAGAAAAGGACACCUACAUGAGCCAUAAAAAAGUACCGCAAGGGAACGCUGAAAAAGAAAUGAAACAAACCAGUAAAGUUUUAAAAAGCAGAGACUUAUACUCGUACCUUUUGCAUCAUGACUUAGCAAGUAAAAACCAAGCAAAGGGCACUUUAGUUUGACUCCCCGAAACUAAGUGAGCUACUCCAAGACAGCCUAAAAGCAGGGCUAACCCGUCUCUGUGGCAAAAGAGUGGGAUGAUCUUAGAGUAGAGGUGACAAACCUAUCGAACUUAGUAAUAGCUGGUUGCCUAAGAAAUGAAUAGGAGUUCAGCUUUUUGAUUUUUCUUCUCAAAUUUAUUUUACUUAUAACUGACCCAGAAAACACCAAAAAAGUUAAUUAAAGGGGGUACAGCCCCUUUAAAACAAGAUACGACUUCAUCAGCCGGGUAAGGAUCAUAAUUAUUAAGGCAAAAAUGUUUUAGUGGGCCUGAAAGCAGCCACCUACAAGAAAGCGUUAAAGCUCAUUCAUACUUUCGCCAUCAAUUUAGAUAACAAAUCCCAACCCGCUAAUUUUAUUAGGCCGCCCCAUGUAUACAUGGGGGUGAUUCUGCUAAUAUGAGUAAUAAGAAAAAUCCAGUUUUUCUCCUUGCACACGUGUAAAUCGAAACGGACCCCCCACCGAAUUUUAAUCGGCCCCAAAAGAGGGUAAUGAGCCACUAACUUUGGUAACAAGAAAAAUACCCAAAGAUUAACCGUUAGCCCCACACUGGUGUGCCUACAAGGAAAGACUAAAAGAAAAAGAAGGAACUCGGCAAAUACAAGCCUCGCCUGUUUACCAAAAACACCGCCUCUUGUAUACAAAAAAUAAGAGGUCA